rnacentral:lncRNA from 1 species
AAUAUAUACAUUUUUAAAUAUGUACCAGCUUUAGUAAAUAAAACAAUUUAUGUAAGUUUCAAUAGUGAGCUUUUGGACAAAACGAUGAAAGAUAAUAGCUGAUGUUGAAUAUUGCCUAAAAGAUCUUACCAUUAAAUCAAGCAAUAUUUCACAUUCACCAGAAGAAGUACAAUCAUUGUAUUUAAAAAGUAUAUCAGAUCGAAAACUUUCAACUGAGAGUGCUAUUCCCUCAGAUAAUAGCUGGGGCAAGUAAAGGAGGCCAGACUUUAAAGGAGGCUGUCCAGAGAAUGUCUUUUGCGUUAUUCACUAAUAACCUCUGCUGUAAACUUAACUGGUCUGGUAUUACUAUAAAUGACAAUAAAAGUAACUUUGUAAAACAAAGACUUACACUUGCUUAAAAAAGCUGUAAAAAGAAAUCCUGCAACAACUUCAGCAACUGAAUCAGAUUUAUGAGGUUGUGCGUUUUUUGCGUGGUGCAUCAGACCGCAAUGGCGGAAAAAAAGUUAGACAAGACCAAAGAAAACAAACAAGCCAAGAAAAAAGUGAUGUCUACAUCAAGUUUUCCAAUGCCAUUAAAUAAAGAGGCAUUUUUUAGUUCAGAAGAUGAAUAACAUUGUUAAAUAUAAUAAUAACCUUUUGUAUAUGAGAUUGUAGAUGAAAAUUUAAAUCGUGAUAUUGAAUCUUACCAGAGAAUAAAGAAACCGUUUACCUCAACCAGAGUUAUAUUUCAUAGAAUUAUGUUGACCAUGAUCCAAAUAUUGCCAUGGAUGUGCACUUGUGUCUUAGGCUUAUGCUUUGCAAAAGGUUCACCAUCGCCCUUAAGUUGCUGUGGGUUUUACGGUUUUACUUCCAACCUGGCAUAUCUCAUUUUUAAAUACUAUUUUAUUUGUUAAAUUAAAAUUAAAAUUAAAGAUACUUUUUUUAAUGAAAUAACAAUUUUUUUAAUUGUUCAUAAACCCCUCAAGCAUAUUUAUAGGAUUAGGUAUAAUAAGAUGCACUUAGUAUCUGAAGUUAUUUGUCAAUAACUGGUGAUCAGACUAUUUCAAACGAAUACGUUUUUAAGGGCUGAGAAGGUGAAAGUUAGAAGUCUGCAGACUGCAACGUAAAUCAAUUUUCAACACAUGGUUUCCUGAAUAUAUUUAGUUUUCGAUUGAAAUGAGAAUAAACUGAACUUAUAGAUGCCAAAAAAGUGUUAUGUAUAUGGCUGCAAAACUAAUUAUCAAAGUACCAAAAAUAAUAAAAGCUUUGAAAAAAUACUAGUUUAUCGUUUUCCUUAAGAUAAAGAACAAAGAAAUAUUUGGAUAAAAAGUAUUCCGAAUUCUAAUCUUUUAGUGUCAGAUGAAACUGUUAUUUGCCUAUUAUUUGCCUAUUGGCCAACAAUUUUUGAAAAAGUUACUGUUCAAGGAAAACAAAGACUAAGAGUGCCACCAUCUGUUUGGCCUGGAAUACCUUCAAGUCAAAUACCCACUCCAUUGCCACAACGCAGAAAUCUUUGAGCGUUGUAAGAAAUGUCAGAACUAAUGAACUUAGCACUUUUUUAUUGGCUGAUACAGCAAAAAAAAUAUAUGAAUCAGAUACUAUUAUACGUAAUUUUGAAUAUUUUUCAACAUUUCGUUCUUUAUACAAUAAAUUAAGAAACGAUUUUCAAUUGCCAUUAGUUAGUACUUUGACACAAAUAACAUCAAAAGUUAACAAAAUUGAUGAUGCUAGUUUCUAAGUCUCAGUUUUCAAAAACAUUGAAGAAAAACAAAAAAUUUGUAUAAUUAUUCAUGAUGAAGUAUAUGUCAAAAAAAUGAUGCUUUACCAUGGUGGAACAUUGUUUGGUAAAUCUUCAGAUGACCCAUCAUUAUUGGCUAAAGUGUGUUAGGAAUUAUGAUAGUAUGUCUCAAAUGUGGUCCAAAAUUUCUGUAUAAGAUGAUUCCAAUUUCAAAAUUAAGUUCAAAUUUUCUGUUUGAACAAAUAAACUCCAGCAUAAUACUUAUAAAAUCAUCAUCUGGCGAUGUAAAAAUUGUUAUCUGUGAUGGUAAUCGUGUAAACCAAGCAUUUUUUAAAUUAUAUCGUACUAUUCCAGAAAAAUCUUGGAAAACGGAAGAUGGGAUGUAUUUACUGUUUGACUUUGUUCAUCUUUUGAAAAACAUUAGAAAUCUAUGGCUUACAGACAAAACUGGGGAACUAGUGUACAAUGAUAAUGGUAUUCAAAGAACAGCUAAAUGAGAGCACCUUUAAUGCUUAUAUCAAUUAGAAUCAGAAAAGUUAGUCAAAUUGUCAGACUUAAAUGAAAUUGCAAUAGCUCCCAAGCCAUUUGAAAGGCAAAAUGUAUCUAAUUGCCUUAAAGUUUUUUCAGAUAAGACAUAUCAUGCCAUGCUGACCAACUCUCAAAUAAUUUCAAAUUCUAAGGAUACUGCAAUAUUUUUAAAUAAAAUAAUAACCCGGUGGAAAAUUUUGAAUGUGAAAGGUCGUGGAGCUGAUGUAAGACACAAUGAUCCACUAGAAGCACCUAUUUGUAGUCUUGAUGAUUGCCGUCUUAAUACUUUACUUCAGUUUGGUGAUAUCUUAUAUCUUCUUGGUAUGUUUACAAGUGACCACUUAGAAAAAGAAUUUGGGAAAUUUAGACAAGGCUCCGGGAGUGUCUACUUUAUAAAUGUUCAACAAAUUAUAGAGAAAUUGCAUAUAAAUCACACAUCACUGUUAUUAUCUUUAAAUAUUGACAUAAAUUCUUUUGAUUUUAGCUCAGGUCAUGAGUGUGGUUCUUGUACAUAUGUUUUAUGUGAAGCAGGUUGUGAAAUAUAUUAAACAAUUUAGAAAAACUAGAGUUAUCAAUUUCAGAUACUACCAAAAUGUCUUUGAUUUAUAUUGCUGGUUACGUAUGUAGAAAUAAAUAUAAUGAAAACAAUUUGUUCAACUAAACAUUAUUUUAUUAUGAAAAGUUUGGUGAUUACCUCAAGUCUAUAGAUCGUGGUGGUCUUAAAAUUCCACCAGACAAUGUUUGCCAAUGGGUUUUUUUUUGCUUUGUCUUAUUCCAUUCAAUAAAAGAUAAAGUUUGUCGUAAAUCCUUAAGUGGCAUUUUUCUGCUAGUUUCUGAAUUUUACUAUUUUGAAAUUAAUCAAAAACAUUGCAACACACUUGCCAAAAUAUUUUUAAAUAAUUUUUGUGCACAAACCACAUCAAGAUCUAAUAAAGA